UCAUAUCAGGCGGAAAAUCCCCGGUGGGUGACCUUUUAUCAUUUAAUCUUAACGACCUAAACCCUCUACUCUUUCUCAUCUUUCGUUCGUCUGCCUCUUCUAAAAUCGAAAUUCACUCUCACAAAUCAAAUCUAAAUCUAAAUCUUACACCAUCUCAAAAUCGAACCCAUUUACCAGCGAAAAUCAAAAGCAAACCCUUUUUUUAUAACCUUAUAUCAAGUUGCUUUGCUCCUGAAACCCUAGGGUUUCAAUAAUGGGAAGAAGAAUCUAUCGAUCUCAAGAUUCAAGAUAUGGAUUCAUCAUCAACGAAAUCAGAUAUGUGAAAAUCAGAUUUGAUGUUUAGGGAUUUAAAUUCGUCGAGGUUUAUGAUGUGCUGAAGAACCAGACACGGAAGGGCCUAGUGCUAUUGCCAUUUUCUUAGCAACCUUUACUGCUUUCUCAUUGGGGUAAAUGUAUGAGGGCACCAAAGAAGACAAAUAUGCUUCUCGGAGAGCGAUUCCCCCUAUGCUUCAAGCCGAGGAGGAUGAAAGAUUCGCCAGCCAAUGGAAAAAGUAUCUAGAGGAAGAAGCGUGAAUCAUGACGGAUGUUCCAGGCUGGAAGGUCGGUGAAAGGGUUUAACACUCUCCUGAUGUCUGUUAAGAGAUGACGAAGGAUACUCUGAGGAGGGACCGGAGGAGCAAGAUGUUGAUAUUGAGAACCAAUACUACAGCUCUAAAGGUUUGGUUGAAACUGAUCCCGAAUGAGCAUUGAAAGGAUUUUAUGAAGUGGUGCCUGUUGAACUGGAUAUGUCAGAAGGGCAAGUUUCGUAAAAUGCUAAGCUUGCCAUCUAGUGGAUGGGGAAGAGCCAUGAAGUGAGUUUGUGCAUCUAGGUUAUCUAAGGAAGAUUCUCAACGACGAACUAAUGGCAGAACUAAUCAGUUAGCAGUGUAGGGAAAGAAGGUACAGUCAUUGUGGGUAAAAUGCAAAAGUAUAUGAAGAUUGUUAAUAAAUGUAAUAUCUUGGCAGCACCCAAGUUACUCCACAACCUGGACUUCCACCUGAGGAAGCAGGGCCGCGAUAGCUGACGAAUCUUUGUUUUCGUUAUUAAUUUCAUUUUUAUUAUUAAUUUAUUUUAGAAAUUGUAUUUAAAGAUUCUAUUUGUUUGAAUAUUAUUUUGGGUAACUAAUAAAAAGUUAUUUUUAA